ensembl:lncRNA
GUGUUCUACUCCCCUAGCCAGCACCUCCCCUAGCCAGCACCUCUCCUAAACAGGUGUUCUCCUCCCCUAGCCAGCACCUCUCCUAAACAGGUGUUCUACUCUGCUAGCCAGCACCUCUCCUAAACAGGUGUUCUCCUCCCCUAGCCAGCACCUCUCCUAAACAGGUGUUCUCCUCCCCUAGCCAGCACCUCUCCUAAACAGGUGUUCUCCUCCCCUAGCCAGCACCUCUCCUAAACAGGUGUGUUUAUUUCUCCUCCAGGCUAAAACAAGAGGAACCACAUAUGGAAAAGAGGGGAAGGGUUUGUUGGUCAUACCUGUUGUUGUUGUUGUGUGUAGAUGUUGCUCUGUUGACAGGAGGCUGGUACAUGGUAGGACUCCCACCCCACAGCUCUUCACAAUACAGCUCCACUACCU